rnacentral:rRNA from 1 species
CGGAGGGUGCAAGCGUUAAUCGGAAUUACUGGGCGUAAAGCGCGCGUAGGCGGUUAAAUAAGUUGGGUGUGAAAGCCCCAGGCUCAACCUGGGAAUGGCAUUCGAUACUGCCUGACUAGAGUAUGGUAGAGGGAAGUGGAAUUUCCGGUGUAGCGGUGAAAUGCGUAGAUAUCGGAAGGAACACCAGUGGCGAAGGCGACUUCCUGGGCCAAUACUGACGCUGAGGUGCGAAAGCGUGGGGAGCAAACAGGAUUAGAAACCCCGGUAGUCC